UGCAUGGAGCAAGUGAGUGCCGGAAAGCUGUCAGGGAGGGCGUUGCCCCCGGCCUGCCCUGCCCAUCCCUGCUGUCCACCCUGCCAGGACCUGGCCUCGCCGACCCUGUGCUCCCCGCUCUCAGGCCCCCCAGCCUGUGGCAGGGCCGGAUCCCAGUGGGCUCUGCUGGCCAGUCUUGCUGUUUGGGCCAACAAGGUUUCCAGCCGGUGCGAUGGCUCUGAAUUCAUCCCGGGCAGAGCUUCGUCCAAGGGGCGACUGUUUGUAUGAAGACAGACGUGGAUAUGGAUUUCAAGGUGCUGGAUUUGUGCUGACUUGGUCCAAAACCCAGCCGCAUCUGGUUAUGUCUGGUGUCGACGGCUCCAAAAAUGUCCUGAAUUCCAGACAACCUCUUGGGCUUCGAAAUAAAAGUCAUUAAUCCUG